GCUAUAUUAAAUGUUUUGUCAUAAACCUGUUCUCCACUGUGCUAUAUUAAAUGUUUUGUCAUAAACCUGUUCUCCACUGUGCUAUAUUAAAUGUUCUCCACUGUGCUAUAUUAAAUGUUCUCCACUGUGCUAUAUUAAAUGUUUUGUCAUAAACCUGUUCUCCACUGUGCUAUAUUAAAUGUUUUGUAAUAAACCUGUUCUCCACUGUGCUAUAUUAAAUGUUUUGUCAUAAACCUGUUCUCCACUGUGCUAUAUUAAAUGUUUUGUCAUAAACCUGUUCUCCACUGUGCUAUAUUAAAUGUUUUGUCAUAAACCUGUUCUCCACUGUGCUAUAUUAAAUGUUUUGUCAUAAACCUGUUCUCCACUGUGCUAUAUUAAAUGUUUUGUAAUAAACCUGUUCUCCACUGUGCUAUAUGAAAUGUUUUGUCAUAAACCUGUUCUCCACUGUGCUAUAUUAAAUGUUUUGUCAUAAACCUGUUCUCCACUGUGCUAUAUGAAAUGUUUUGUCAUAAACCUGCUCUCCACUGUGCUAUAUUAAAUGUUUUGUCAUAAAUCUGUUCUCCACUGUGCUAUAUGAAAUGUUUUGUCAUAAACCUGUUCUCCACUGUGCUAUAUUAAACGUUCUCCACUGUGCUAUAUUCAAUGUUUUGUAAUAAACCUGUUCUCCACUGUGCUAUAUUAAAUGUUCUCCACUGUGCUAUAUUAAAUGUUUUGUCAUAAACCUGUUCUCCACUGUGCUAUAUUAAAUGUUCUCCACUGUGCUAUAUUAAAUGUUUUGUCAUAAACCUGUUCUCCACUGUGCUAUAUUAAAUGUUCUCCACUGUGCUAUAUUAAAUGC
rnacentral:lncRNA from 13 species